GACAGAGGAUGCAAGCGUUAUCCGGAAUGAUUGGGCGUAAAGCGUCUGUAGGUGGCUUUUAAGUCCGCCGUCAAAUCCCAGGCUCAACCCUGGACAGGCGGUGGAAACUACCAAGCUGGAGUACGGUAGGGCAGAGGGAAUUUCCGGUGGAGCGGUGAAAUGCGUAGAGAUCGGAAAGAACACCAACGGCGAAAGCACUCUGCUGGCCGACACUGACACUGAGAGACGAAAGCUAGGGAGCGAAUGGG
rnacentral:rRNA from 1 species